rnacentral:misc_RNA from 1 species
GUGAGUCAUCGAAUCUUUGAACGCACAUUGCGCCCUUUGGUAUUCCGAAGGGCAUGCCUGUUCGAGCGUCAUUAUCACCCCUCAAGCCCCGUGCUUGGUGUUGGACGGCCGGUCGAGCGAUCGACCCCUCCUAAAGACAAUGACGGCGACCUGUGGUUCCCCCGGUACACUGAGCUUUUAACUGAGCACGUAUCGGACAAGGGCACCCGGGACCCGGUCCUCUCCUUUCACAAAAGGAAACUUUCUAUGGUUGACCUCGGAUCAGGUAGGAAUACGCGCUGAACUUAAGCAUAUCAAUAA